UUUUUGUUUAUUCAUAACAACAAAAAAGAAUUAAAGGAGGAGUCUUAUUAUGGCUCGAUUCAGAGGUUCAAACUGGAAAAAAUCUCGUCGUUUAGGUAUCUCUUUAAGCGGUACUGGUAAAGAAUUAGAAAAACGUCCUUACGCACCAGGACAACAUGGUCCAAACCAACGUAAAAA
rnacentral:sRNA from 1 species